AUUGAACGCUGGCGGCAGGCCUAACACAUGCAAGUCGAACGGAGUGGCGGACGGGUGAGUAAUGUCUGGGAAACUGCCUGAUGGAGGGGGAUAACUACUGGAAACGGUAGCUAAUACCGCAUACUAUCAGAUGAGCCUAGGUCGGAUUAGCUAGUUGGUGGGGUAAAGGCCUACAAAGGCGACGAUCCGUAACUGGUCUGAGAGGAUGAUCAGGCACACUGGAACUGAGACACGGUCGAGAAUCCUACGGGAGGCAGCAGUGGGGAAUAUUGGACAAUGGGCGAAAGCCUGAUCCAGCCAUGCCGCGGGUGUGAAGAAGGUCUUCGGAUUGUAAAGCACUUUAAGUUGGGAGGCGGUACCAACAGAAUAAGCACCGGCUAACGUCGUGCCAGCAGCCGCGGUAAUAG
rnacentral:rRNA from 1 species